rnacentral:rRNA from 1 species
UACGGGGGGGGCAAGCGUUGUUCGGAAUUACUGGGCGUAAAGGGCUCGUAGGUGGCCAACUAAGUCAGACGUGAAAUCCCUCGGCUUAACCGGGGAACUGCAUCUGAUACUGGAUGGCUUGAGUUCGGGAGAGGGAUGUGGAAUUCCAGGUGUAGCGGUGAAAUGCGUAGAUAUCUGGAGGAACACCGGUGGCGAAGGCGGCAUCCUGGACCGACACUGACGCUGAGGAGCGAAAAGCCAGGGGAGCAAAGCGGG